UUCGGCUCGUAAAGCUCUGUUGUUAAAGAAGAACACGUAUGAGAGUAACUGUUCAUACGUUGACGGUAUUUAACCAGAAAGUCACGGCUAACUACGUGCCAGCAGCCGCGGUAAUACGUAGGUGGCAAGCGUUAUCCGGAUUUAUUGGGCGUAAAGAGAGUGCAGGCGGUUUUCUAAGUCUGAUGUGAAAGCCUUCGGCUUAACCGGAGAAGUGCAUCGGAAACUGGAUAACUUGAGUGCAGAAGAGGGUAGUGGAACUCCAUGUGUAGCGGUGGAAUGCGUAGAUAUAUGGAAGAACACCAGUGGCGAAGGCGGCUACCUGGUCUGCAACUGACGCUGAGACUCGAAAGCAUGGGUAGCGAACAGGAUUAGAUACCCUGGUAGUCCAUGCCGUAAACGAUGAGUGCUAGGUGUUGGAGGGUUUCCGCCCUUCAGUGCCGGAGCUAACGCAUUAAGCACUCCGCCUGGGGAGUACGACCGCAAGGUUGAAACUCAAAGGAAUUGACGGGGGCCCGCACAAGCGGUGGAGCAUGUGGU
rnacentral:rRNA from 2 species